CGCGUAGGCGGCUUUAUAAGUCUGGAGUGAAAGUCCUCUUUUCAAGGGAGGAAUUGCUUUGAAAACUAUAGAGCUUGAGUGCAGGAGAGGUUAUCGGAAUUCCCGGUGUAGCGGUGAAAUGCGUAGAUAUCGGGAGGAACAUCGGUGGCGAAGGCGGGUAACUGGACUGCAACUGACGCUGAGGCGCGAAAGUGUGGGGAGCAAACA
rnacentral:rRNA from 1 species